AUGUCCCCUCCCCAGCCUCCUCUUUCUCCUUUGAGGCCUCUGGGCAGCAGAACCUCGGAAUCCUGGAGAAUUAUUUCGGGGUUUUCACUUAGAAACCCCCGGGGCCGGGGAAGACUCCGUCCUGGGAGGGUGGUGGACAGGAGGGCAGUUCUUGGUAAAGGACCCAAAGGAGCCCGAAACUUGAAAACCAGCGCGCCUUUCCCUNCCAGCGCUCCCCGCCCGCCUUGCUGCGGCUCUGCCCACGCACCCGGGUGCACCGGGUCCCCAGCCGAAGUCCGGUCUCCUCCACCGCCGGCGUCAGGGCCCUCUGCAGGACUUGGCAGGGCGGAGCUCAGAUCUCACCUCGCAGCGACCCCUAGGUCCGCUCAGGGAGGCGGCUUCGGAGGCGGUGGGUCGGGGAGGGGCCUGGCUCGCGGGUCCCCCGCCCUCCCGACGUCUUCCUCCGCUUCGCUGGGGAGCCCGGACCCGCUCGUCCUCUUGGGCCAGCAGAGACCAAGCAAGCCGGUGAGCCUGUUUGUCCCCUUGGAGACAGCCCGGGACCCUCUGAAAAGGAUUCAGGCAGACCCGAGGCCUGCGGAGCCCUUCUCCCAGAUGGGCCUUGGGGCUAUGGGCCCCGCUUAACUGCUGGACCAACUGACGCCCAAUGGGAGUGGCAGGGCCGCCUCGGAACUCCUGAGGCGCAGGGUCAAGUUUGUGGCUCCCACCCUGCCCUGCGCCCUCCCCUUCCCUCUUCCAGGGACAAUUUGCAGGCAAGGCCCUCCCUCUCUCCCCCUCCCCCUCCUGUAGCUCCAGCUUGCAGGGGUGGGGUGCAGUGGGGAGUAACCCCAGCCCCUGUCCUAGUCAGAGAGUGAGGCAGAAUCCACAGCCCUCGCCCGCUCUCGGGGGGGGGGCGGGAUGGCCGGCAGCCUUGCUGGUGCCCAGGCCGCCUGCCCUGUGUUACCAUACUGACAUCGUGCAGGGUCCAGGACCCCUCAGCUCGUGCCCCCGAGGCGGGGACACUGGAAGAACCGUGGAGUCCGGACAAAGCGCACCCCACCCCUGUCCAGGCCCCAGAGCUUCUUCACCUCACAGCGGCUGGGCGGGACCAGCGGCCCUGCAGAUGGGUGGGCAGAUGCAGAGUAGGAGCAGGAGGUAGCAACCUGACACCAGAGAGGUGUCUGGGAUGCAGAUUCCACCUGUCCCGCAGGCCGGCCACCCUCCAGGGCUUACCUCACCUGUGUUUACCUGUCACCUUGAAAUGCCACACUGGUGUUUGCUUAGCAGGACGCUGGAGAGACAGUCCCAGGUCCAGGCAGCGCUGGGGUUCCUUGGGGUGCAAAGAAGAGGGAAGUGGGCCCUGCUUGGGGUUCCUGGCGAGGAAGCAGGGUGGGGACUCCCAGAGCGGGCGGCGCCAGCUCACUGAAGGCCACCCGAAAUCUGCCAAAGCCGGCACGGGGCCCUGGCCUUGGCCGGGAGGGGGGCAGCAGGGAGGGGCGUGGACAGGAAGAAGCCCCGGGCAGGUCAGAGAACCGAAGCUGGUAAUUUCGGAGCGGGUAAGCAGUAAUUACUCUCGCGGGUCACACUGUCGCUAAUCCCAGGCGAGACUUCCUGGUGCUGUCCGAGUCCCUAGGCCUGGAGCAUCCUCACAGCUGCAGACCAGGGAGCUGUGGCUCUGCUCACCAGGGACAGGGCCCGCCCCAGUGUAGACCCAGGACCAGGCUUCAUCCUGAUGCCCAGGCCGAACGGCCUCCGUCCAGGCCACGUGGCAGGUCCGCGUGAGGGAGAACCCCGCGGGCCGAGGGCGGACGCUGCGGGGCGCUGGGCCCGGGUCUCAGCCAGUGGCCUCAAAGCGGCCCGGGGGGGUCCCAGCUGGCGGCACUCGGCCUGCGGGGUCCUCGCGGGCUCCGCAGGCCGGCGAAGGGCACACUGUUUUGCCGGCUUGGCCCAGAGUAGCUCAGCCGCUCCCAGGCCACGGGAAGCAGCCUGGCCGUGCGCCACCGCGGGGUCCGCUCUCUG
rnacentral:lncRNA from 1 species